UACGUAGGGUGCGAGCGUUGUCCGGAAUUAUUGGGCGUAAAGGGCUCGUAGGCGGUCUGUCACGUCGGGAGUGAAAACUCGGGGCUUAACUCCGAGCCUGCUUCUGAUACGGGCAGACUAGAGGUAUGCAGGGGAGAAUGGAAUUCCUGGUGUAGCGGUGAAAUGCGCAGAUAUCAGGAGGAACACCGGUGGCGAAGGCGGUUCUCUGGGCCUUACCUGACGCUGAGGAGCGAAAGUGUGGGGAGCGAACAGG
rnacentral:rRNA from 1 species